rnacentral:rRNA from 1 species
CAGUCGCCACGGUAAUACGUAGGGUGCGAGCGUUAAUCGGAAUUACUGGGCGUAAAGCGUGCGCAGGCGGUUUUGUAAGACAGGCGUGAAAUCCCCGGGCUCAACCUGGGAAUGGCGCUUGUGACUGCAAAGCUAGAGUGCGGCAGAGGGGGAUGGAAUUCCGCGUGUAGCAGUGAAAUGCGUAGAUAUGCGGAGGAACACCGAUGGCGAAGGCAAUCCCCUGGGCCUGCACUGACGCUCAUGCACGAAAGCGUGGGGAGCAAACAGGAUUAGAGACCCCCGUAGUCCCUGUCUCUUAUAC